AUUGAACGCUGGCGGCAUGCCUUACACAUGCAAGUCGAACGGUAACAGGUCUUCGGAUGCUGACGAGUGGCGAACGGGUGAGUAAUACAUCGGAACGUGCCUAGUAGUGGGGGAUAACUACUCGAAAGAGUGGCUAAUACCGCAUGAGAUCUACGGAUGAAAGCAGGGGAUCGCAAGCCCUUGUGCUACUAGAGCGGCCGAUGGCAGAUUAGGUAGUUGGUGGGAUAAAAGCUUACCAAGCCGACGAUCUUUAGCUGGUCUGAGAGGACGAUCAGGCACACGGGGACUGAGACACGGCCCAGACUCCGACGGGAGGCAGCAGUGGGGAAUUUUGGACAAUGGGCGCAAGCCUGAUCCAGCAAUGCCGCGUGCAGGAUGAAGGCCUUCGGGUUGUAAACUGCUUCUGUACGGAACGAAAAGCCCCGGGUUAAUACCCUGGGGUCAUGACGGUACCGUAAGAAUAAGCACCGGCUAACUACGUGCCAGCCGCCGCAGUAA
rnacentral:rRNA from 1 species